rnacentral:lncRNA from 1 species
CAACUUCCUCUUCUUCUAAAUCCUCUGAAAACUCCUCUCUAAAUCCUUCAUCCUACACUCACGUUUACACCCUCAACCACCCUAAAACACCUUCUUUUACCACCCAAAUGUCUUCUUAUAACCCCACAGUAGAUCACCACCUCCAGCCAACCUUCCCUCUCGUCACAAGACUCAACUGAAACCCAAAAACGGAGGCAGCAGGAGGCUGCCAUCACAGCUCCACCACCCCCUGUCACCCCGUUGCUCCAUUGUCACCCUCCCCUUACCUACCAGAAAACCACCUCUACCGCUACUGUGUACUACCUUGUGACACCCUCCAUCCUUCUCUUCCUUCGUCUUCAUCAAAACAGUAGCAGAAAACCAACAGCAGGAGGCUGCCGGCCUCCACCCAUCAUCACCGAACUACCAUUCUGCUGCAAGCUACCUCCACUGGCCACCACUUGUUGCCAUAGGUAACCUCCAAACACCCUUGAAUUAACAAAUUAUGCACAUCUGCGCAACUGGGAAUCACGAGACCAUUCAUUUCAAUUCUUUUUGUAUUUACGUAAAGAAGAUGAAGAACACAGGAGGUUGUUACCUCCUGUGUAAAAGAUAGUAUUGUGCGAAUUAGGAUACCAAAUAAAUACAUGCAGUCCCUCUAUUUCGACUUUUCCCAAGUUUAGUCCCUCCCUAUUUAGAAUUAUCUCAAAUCUAGUUGUUAAACAAUGAAAGUUUAAUCAAAAUAUUUAAAACUUACCCUAAACUGGACAAAUCUUUACAAAACAAAUCCAACUAAAAAAUUAAAUGAAUAAUGUUUAUACGUAUAUUUUAGAAAUUUUAAAUUUGAUUUCAAGUUUAAAUUAAUUUUGGGUUAUUUAAAUACUUGCGGAAAAAUAAUAAAUUAAAUUUUAAAAUUUAUUUAAAAUAAUUAUUUCAAUAAGUUUUAAAUUGGCAAAACUUAGGGAACUAUUCAAGAAAUUGUUAUAAUACCUAAUCACGUCCAAAUAUUAAUAUAUAUCAAAAUUUCUAGGAAAUCGAACUAAUCCCGGAGAUCACGACCUCACGGCAAUACAUUCUGGUCUUCAGAACUACUCAUUUACCACUCGAUAAGGUGAGAGUUACGGCCCCUUUUCAAUAUUUUAUUUAUUCUUGGGGGAGAAUACAUGUGGUAAAUAGUAUUUAUUAUGCAAAUACAUAUGCCUUAUAUGAUAUACAUGGUACAAUUUUAAAAGUUAUAAAGACUUCCAUAUCUGAAUACUAGGCAUUACACACUUGUACAAUACCAUUAUGUUAAAUACGUCAACCAUACUCGACUUUUACAAAUACUAUACUACGAAAUUCAUUAUGCCCGGUACUUAUCUAUAAUUAAGUUAGGGCUGAGAGUUAUUCAUAAACUUUUCGUUAAUGGUUUUUGAGUGAGACGCUACUAUUCAUUAGCUGAGUUUAAUCACUUAGCCUGCCCCAUACUGCUAUAAUCGUUAAUCUUCGGAGCGAGGUACAUAUAUAUAGAUCUAUAUGGGGUCGACAACCCCACCUGCGGUUGCUAGCUACAACCAUCGACUGAUCAAUCGAAGCAGGUGAUAUGUGUCUACGAUCGUUACUACGACGUCCAAUGAAGCGUCGUAGGGAGGGGUACUUUUCGUCUAUAGCUCGAUUAUAGAACUCACUAAAAACAUUAACACGAAUCUCUCUCACUUUUUCAUUACAACCAUAGGUUUGGUUGCUNNNAGCGAGGUACAUAUGUAUAGAUCUAUAUGGGGUCGACAACUCCACCUGCGGUUGCUAGCUACAACCAUCGACUGAUCAAUCGUAGCAGGUGAUACGUGUCUACGAUCGUUACUACGACAUCCAAUGAAGUGUCGUAGGGAGGGGUACUUUUCGUCCAUAGCUCGAUUAUAGAACUCACUAAAAACAUUAACACAAAUCUCUCCCACUUUUUCAUUACAACCAUAGGUUUGGUUGCUGUCAGAACUAUUUUUAAGUAUAGUGGUUACUUAUACUAUGGAUAUGUUUAAAUUUUCAUGAAGUUAUUACAAACACGUUUUCUUUAAAAGCAUGAAUUUAUUUUAAAAAAUACUUUUUGGCUUUUAAAGACUCAUGACAAGCAUUGCUUCAACUAUUGUUAUACAAGAAAAAUACUUUAUGACUUUUGAAAGUAUUAUUACUGCGGCUAGCAGAAAACCUGUGACUCUCACCAACCUCGUGUUGACUUUCAAAAUACAUGUAUUCUCAGGAAAUCAGUGAAAUUUCGGGCACACUCAGACGAUGGAAAACAUGGCUCGCAAGUACUUUAAUUUUCUACUUUUGAACUGUUAUGCCUAACUGUUAAGGCAAACUUGUAUUAUUAUUUUAUUACUAUCUGUAAGAACCA